CCCACCACCAUUACCAUUAUCAUUACCCUUCACUACCGUCACCACCACCCCCCACUACCACCCCCACCACCACCCCAACCACCAUCCCCACCAUCACCACUAUCACCACAACCACUAUCACCAACAUCACACUCCUCACACCACCUCACUGUCACCACCACUACCACCACCACCAUAACCAACACCACCAUCAUCAUCACCAUCACUACCACAAACACCAUCGUCAGCCCCACCCUUGUCACCAUCACCACCACUAUCACCGUCAUCAUCACCAACACACCCAUUACCACCACCCCCACCACUAUCAUCACCAUCACCAACACCACUACUACCACCACCAUCAUUAUCACCAUUCCCACAUCACUAUCACCACCGUCAGCCCCUACUGCCAUCAUCACCAUAUAACCACAAAUAACACCAACAUCACACUACUAUCACUACCAGCACCACCACUAGUACCACUAUAACUUCUGCUAUUCUGCAAUGCUUACAGAGGCUAUAAAUUUAAUGAUAAUUAGAAUGUAUUUAUUUUUUCUCAUUCUAUAAUCUCUCUCCAAGAAAGACCAAUAUUUCCAGUUGUCAACUGAGAGUUAUACUAAUCAAUGUGGACUCUGGCACCCAGAAUGUGCUGUCAGGUGACUUUUCAAGGACAACAGAACACUUGAUUCCUACCAAGAAGCUGUUCAUAUCCCAAACAAAACUGAAACUCAAUUUGAUUAAAAUAUCACAGAUAUCCUCGCUAAAAGCCCAGGAGUUAUUCAUCAUUCUUCCGUUUCCCUCUGUCACUGCCUCCUUUCAGUGGUCCUCCACAAUACAAAUCCAAGCACCCCUCAUCAUCACAGCUGGGACCACUCCACACCAGCACUGCCUUCCAUCCUUGCACCCCUCAGUCCAUUUUCUACAUAGCACUCAAAGUGAUAUUUACUUAUUAUUUGUUGUCAUGAGAAGAGAAACCUCAGCUGUGUAUAAGGAGCAGCACCUAAUCUAGAGAAGGCACCCCAUAAACAUUUGUUGGAUGAAUCCUCAGGCACAUUCAACUCCUUCAGUAUUUAUUUCCAGAAUGCUAAAGAUUUCCUGUAAGAAUAGGUCUGAAGGAAACAACUCAUCCAUGGAUCUGGAAGUGGACAAUGUGAUGUUUUGAACCAGGAUACAUCCAAGGACAAUGGACCUGGCAGCGAAGGCGCAGGUAGCCAUCAACUCUGAGUCACACUAGAAGCCACUCACAUUAUAGUGCCUGUACUCUUCCGGCGAAUUUCAAUCCCAAAUGG
rnacentral:lncRNA from 10 species